ACAUACCAUAGCACUCUUGGAAGAUGACACAUCAAGGUAUGGAGCAAGCUCGUCAGCUGCAACAACACCUCCUCUAGAAGUUAUAUACCUCCCAAUCUGCAAAUAGGUGACAUAUGCGAGUUACAUCACUAGCAAUUCAUUAUAAUGGAACUAAAGACUUGAAUAGGUUCAAAAGCACAUGAAGAAAAAGAACAUGAGUAGGUUAGAGCACUGCACAUUACCAUCUGCCACCUCUCUUCUUCAAUCCCUUGAUUUGGGUCUCCAUCUCCAAACACAAAGGAGAAAACCUACAAAACAAACCAUUACUAAUUAAUCCAAAGUCAUCAUGACUCAGCAGCAACUGGGGAAGAAACAUAUAGCAAAAAGCAUGAAAGCUUACAGAUUCAAUGAAAUUCAUUCCCUUUCCUUCAUCUUCUCGAGCUCGCCGCCUUCUGUAAUAGUUGGGAUCCCAAUACCUUCCAUCAAAAACACUAGAACAUGA